AUAUUGCUAAUAAUAAUAUUGCUAAUAGUAAUAUUGUUAAUAAUAAUAUUGUUAAUAAUAAUCUUAUUAAACCUAAGGUGAUCAAUAGAACCGAUAGUGAUAUGUAUUACACUAUGGAUAAUUCAUUAAAUGAUAAAAUUCUGAACGAUUCAUAUGAAUACCAAAGUAAUCCUAGUUAUAGUAUGAUAGAUGAAAAUGACAAAGAAUCAGUAAUGUUUGCAGGUAAUAAUAAUAAUAUAAAUAAUAAAAAUAACACAGGUGAUAGUAAUAAUAUUAUUAAAAAGAAUACCAUGAAUAACGGUUCUGUUUAUAAUAGGAUUGGAAGAAUGCAACAAAACAUUGAUAUUUCUUUAGUACCUAUGUAUAAUAAUAACGUGAAAAGGAUUUCUGAAAGUGGAUAUAACAGCGAUAGUAACUUAAUACUCAGUCAUUAUAGUUUGAUGAAUGAAGAAGAUAAUUCUAAAAAUUAUAACAUAAAUGGUAUGAAUUAUAAUCACGAUAAUAAACUGAAAAUGCGUAAUAAUAGUAGUAAUAUAUAUAACAAUAACAGUCACUAUAAUAGUAGUAGUAUACCCUAUAACCAUGACAGUCGAACUUAUAAUAAUAACAAUAACCCUAACAACAAUAACCCUAACAACAAUAACCUCAACAACAAUAACCUCAACAACAAUAACCUCAACAACAAUAACCUUAACAACAAUAACCUUAACCAUAACGUAAAAAAUAAUAUUGCUUAUUUUAAUAAAAUUAUGGAUAAUAGAAAAAACAUGAAAAAUAUAAAACAGGAUCCCAUAGAAAAUAAUUAUAUGGAUAAAAAAAACAAAAUGGAAUCAAAAGAUGCAUUUUAUGAACAAGCAAAAAAUAAUGUAAAUAAUAAUUCUAAAAAUAGAAUAAAUAUUCCAAUGAAUGUAGGAGAAGAAGAAGAUAAUAAUAAUAAUAAUAUUAUGAUGAUAAACGAAAUGAAAGCAGGAAAUAAAAAUAAUAGUAGUAAACGAUCAAAUAUGCAUAACGAAAUGGUACAUUUAAAAGAAGGUAAUAAAGACAAAAAAAUGUAUAAUGAAGAAAAUGAUAAUUACGUUAACACAAAUUAUAAUAUGAACAAUAAACAAGCCUCAAAUAAUAUGAAAAAUAUAAGUGCAAAAGGAAAUUACCUUAAUGAUAAUAAUAAUUUAAAUAUGCUAAGAAAUAUGAAUAGUUAUAAAAAUAAAAUGGUAGACAGAAAUGCAUAUAAAAACAAUGCAAACAUGGUAGGCAUAAGAGAUUUCAUGAAAGAAAUGCAAAACGAUAAAAACAAUAAUGCUAAAUAUAGCAACCCCAAUAGAAACAACAAAAAUAGUCGUCACAAUAGUAAUGACAAUAAUAGUGACGUAAGUUAUAACAAUAAAUAUGUAAAUUCAAAAAAUGCUUCCAACCAAGGUUUACCAAGACGGGGUAAUCAUAUAAUAGAACAGUUAGAUAAAACUUUAAUGAAUAAAUCAAUUAUCAUGAAUAAAAAUAAGCAAAAGUUUGAUAAAAAGUG
rnacentral:lncRNA from 1 species